rnacentral:rRNA from 1 species
CAAAGUGGCCGCAUGCUAACAUGCAGUCGACGCGAAAGGGGGCAACCCCGAGUAGAGUGGCGUAAGGGCGAGUAAUGCAUUUCUAACGUACCUCAGACUCGAGGAUAGCUCACCGAAAGGUGAAUUAAUACUCGAUGAUGCUCACGGGUUGUAUGACCUGUGUGCCAAAGGCUUGCUGGUCUGAGAGCGGGGAAUGUCCUAUCAGGUAGUUGGUGAGGUAACGGCUCACCAAGCCUAAGACGGGUAGCGGGUGUGAGAGCACGACCCGCCGCAUCGGAACUGAGACACUGUCCGGACUCCUACGGGAGGCUGCAGUAACGAAUAUUCCACAAUGCGCGAAAGCGUGAUGGAGCGAUGCCGCGUGCAGGAUGAAGCCCCUCGGGGUGUAAACUGCUGUCAGGGUUUAACAAAAAAAUGAGUAGACCCAGAGGAAGAGACGGCUAACUCUGUGCCAGCAGCCGCGGUAAUACAGAGGUCUCGAGCGUUGAUCGGAAUUAUUGGGCUUAAAGGGUGCGUAGGCGGUCCUGUCAGUGCCUUGUGAAAUCCCAUGGCUCAACCAUGGAAUUGCUCGGUAGACCACAGGACUUGAGGUCGGUAGGGGUCGCUGGAACUCUAGGUGGAGCGGUGAAAUGCGUAGAUAUCUAGAGGAACGCCAAAGGUGAAGACAGGCGACUGGGCCGAUUCUGACGCUGAGGCACGAAAGCGUGGGUAGCGAACGGGAUUAGAUACCCCGGUAGUCCACGCCCUAAACGAUGUGCACUAGAUCGUGGAGGCUCUGACGCCCCCAUGGUCGAAGUUAAAAUGCUAAGUGCACCGCCUGGGGAGUACGGUCGCAAGGCUAAAACUCAAAGGAAUUGACGGGGCUCACACAAGCGGUGGAGCAUGUGGCUCAAUUCGAAGCAACGCGAAGAACCUUAUCCUGGGCUUGACAUGUAUGGAUUAGGUCGUGAAACACGGCUGAGGCCUUCGGGUACAACAUACACAGGUGCUGCAUGGCUGUCGUCAGCUCGUGCUGUGAA